rnacentral:rRNA from 1 species
UACGGGGGAGCAAGCGUUGUUCGGAUUUACUGGGCGUAAAGGGCGCGUAGGCGGUCAGCACAAGUCAGUUGUGAAAUCUCCGGGCUUAACCUCGGAAAGGUCAACUGAUACUGCGCGGCUAGAGUGCAGAAGGGGCAACUGGAAUUCUCGGUGUAGCGGUGAAAUGCGUAGAUAUCGAGAGGAACACCUGCGGCGAAGGCGGGUUGCUGGGCUGACACUGACGCU